UACGGGCUCAAUUCCAGAAAAGGAUUAGUGUUUGUUGUAGUUGGCGACCUUUGUAAAAUAUGCGACGUCGCACUCGGUACAUGUUGGCCAAUGUGAGGGCGCCCACCCCCCACAUGGCCUACGCUCGCUCCAUCUCCCCACCACUAGCAUACAUCUGAAGAAGGGCCAUAGACUCUUGUGCUUGCCGCUUUUCAGCCAAAAAUCUGCCCGAAGCUUCUUUCAACUGCUCCAAGAAGAUUCUGAAAUAAUUCGUUAAAAACGAAUAACGAUACCUCUUGGAAUUAUAUGAAUUAAACAACUAUGAAAUUUGAUUUCGUUUACCUGUCUGGUACUAUAUCGGCUAAGCUGUCUGGAUCCAUAUCGCUCAGUAAUUCUAGAUCGCUUCCACCUAGCAACGAUAUAUGCGACGGGUCACCGUGCAAUGAUGAAACCAAUGGUUCUAUCGGUGGUCUAUGCCUUCUCAACUCAUCUCCUCUUAAACCACUUUCUAUGUUGUCAACAUCAUCUACAACAAUAUACCGAGAAGCAGCUUUACUACUUCCAGCUGCUAUCCAUUUUUGAUCUCCAUGCAGAACCAUUAAACUAGUGUUUCUUUCUAAUGUUGCAAAAUAUUCUUCGUCAUCUACUUCUGUGCCUAUAAAAAGAAAAAGAAACAAGUGAAAAAUGUGUUAACGAUAUCCAUGUUUGUACAGUGGCAUCAAGGAAAAUUUGAAUCAAAGUAAACUGUGAUAUUAUUACGUUACCAUCUUGUUCUAAAACUAUUGUGAGUUCUGCAUCCAAGGGCAACGACAAACGGCUUCUUGCAAUACUAGUUAAUUCUUUCAGAGAAGACGCAGUGAUGCCCUUACGCUUUUCUCUAGCAUGAUCAACAAUUUUGUAAGGGUUGCCCAGCCCCUGUGAUAUUCCUGCUGUUUCCGACAUUGCUGUUUCAAAUUACAAGUUAGAAAAAUCUUAAAACAACUCACUGGAAUGUCGGUAUGUUUUUCUAGGCGAAACAAAUGUAGGUCAACUAUAUAUUUAUAUAUAUAUAUACAUAUAUAUAUAUAUAUAUAUACAUAUAUAUAUAUAUAUAUAGAUAUAGAUAUAGAUAUAGAUAUAUAUUAAAUUUCUGGCAUCGAAAGUAUACUUUCAUUAAAAGAAUUGACUGCUACUAAGGCUCGAUUAUCGUUGCACAUUAUUUUUUAUCAACGUUGGCGAGUAUCGUCAAAUCAAUUUGCAAAUUGCACUACAUUUGCAAAUGUCAACUCGUUAUUGGCCACAAAGAAUCUUCGUAGAAUUUUCGUUAGAAAAACAUUACAACGAUACUUGAACGCACUAGGUAUAAAGUUGUAUGGUUUGAAUGUCAGUUCAAAGAAAGGGCAGUGGUUUGGAGAUUGCGUUAGAUUGUUGAGUUUUACUGAGAUUCUCUACGAUGUUUAACCAUUUACAGAUUACGAAUAAAAAAUUUGGAAAAGCUUAUAAAGAUGAUUAACGUUCGAGUGACUGAACUGACCGUAUGUCAACUCAACACUGGGUCAAUGGUGCAACUACCCCUCCUAUUUAUAUUCUCUGUAGACUAUCGCGUACGGUGCUACUGAGAGACAGCCUCACGUAUACUCACGUAUUCCCUCCCAACAUGGCACCUACGCGGAAAUCAAUAACCAACCCUACUCUAACAGUAAUAUUAUUUUUUCUUUUAUUUUAUUACUAUUAAACUGUUUAGAUUACAGGAAAAUUAUUUCUUCGAUAUUAAUACGAUAAUAAUUCAAUACAAUAAAUUUCAAAUGAAUUAUAUUGCACAUAAUAACAUCCAUUAUGUAUCAUCAAUCAUACAUAGGCAUCUACAUUUAUUUAUAAGUAAUUUUUACACUUUACAUUGGAACAUGACAUGACUUCAGACAUAUCAGAAAUAUUUGAA